UUCUGCAUGACAACUUCAUGCUUUAAUAACAAUACAAGUAAUACUCAAAGAUGCACCUGGUUUUUCUUCUUUCCCAAGCACCCCUCCCCCACCUCCUCCCUGCCCCGUUUUAAAGGGGGGAAAAAUAAAUGCACCAAGUGCGUCAAUCAGAAUUGGAAAAAUUUCCAUGUUAGGAUGAGUAAAGUAGUAUUUUACCAAUAAAAAAAUAGCUACACAACCACAAGAUGAAUGGAAUAUGUCCAUUUUAAAAGACAGAAUAAGUUUACUGACAAGAAAAGUUCAAGCAAUCACUAGUCAAAACCACAUACUAUGGAUCAAAGAAUUUAUAGGAGUCAUGAUUUUAGAAUGAAAACAACUGCAGUCUAAGAUGCAGAAUACGAGACAUACUCCAGCUGCUCAAAGGCCCAAAAAAUUUCACACGAAACAAUAAAAACAUCUAAUUCAGCUCCUAAACAUAAGUGAAGUGUAAUUACUAGAGCAUCCCAAGCGCAGGUGACGCAAAGGGUUAUUGACUGGCCAAUUGAUCACCAAGAGUCAAGUAUUAAACAAACUUUGCAGCACAACAAAAAUUAACAUCAGAUUCUGUGUAAAUUUGAUAGUUCCCCAUUUAGUAGAUAAGGUAUUUAGAAUUGUAGUUUUGGUACAAGAUGUCAUUUUGAGUAACCAAGAAGGACAAGUUCAAUUACUUCAAAAUAUUUGCAUGCUUGCAGAAGUUCUAGCAAUAUCAAAAACUUAUCUUGUUUAGCUAAAAUUCUUCAGUAACAUAACAGGAGAAAUCUUCUCCUAUUCCAAUAAUAUAGAACAAGAAUAUAACUUCUUCGGUCUGAAUUUAUUUUCACUUCUUGGUAUCAACUGAGACAAUGUAUUUGCUCCUUGAGGCAACUCUAAUGAACCAAACCUUAAUAUUGUUGAUAAAGUUUUUAGUUUCAUGGAUUCAAAACAUCCUUAUUUGGGGAUGGACGAAAAGUUUUCCUUCCAAUUCCAGGUAACAAGGAACAUGUAAAAGUUGAUGAUAGUUUUCGUCAACAUGUUUAUUCUACUUUGACAAACACUACUAUGUUCCACGAGUUAAAUUAGAACAAUAUUAUCAAAUACUACCAUAGCAAAGGAGCACAAAAGGCAGGACAUACAAAAAAGAGAAAGUUAGCCUUUUCCUCUCCAAAAAUUUAUAUCAAGCAUGUUCCAUUUCCAUAUAUAUUCGUCUCUCUCUCCCUCUCUCUGUCAUGCACAAACACACACAAUCUACGAUGUAGAUAUCUGCAUACAGAUCUGUUGUAAUGUACAAAGUUACAUUCACCGCUGCAGAAUAAGGAUAAUUCUAGUUUCAAAUGGUAGCCGCUUGUCAAAAUAAAAAAUAAAAAAAGGAGAAGACAUACCGAUCUGUCAACCCAAUGCAUACGUGGUACAAACCCCACCAUUGUAUCAGGUGCACUUUGCCAAAUGCUAAAAGCCAAUUCAACUGAUGAGCAUGGGAAUAUGACAUCAUCAUCAAUCGAAAAUAGAGCAUCUGUCUUCAAAUUCUUGAUCUCUUUGAACCUAUUGUUCAAACUGUCUUCCCUAUUGAUGUCAAAUUUCAGUUCAAUUUGUUGACCAUCUCUGGAGUUUGAUUCUAUGACAUGGUUUAAAUAUUUAAUAAGAGAAACGGAGGGAGGAUCAGGCUCGCUCCAGACUAUGUGUAUAGAAGUAAGCCCAGGACAUGAUGCAUAAUGAGAAAUGGAUUGUUUCAAGAGAUCAUUUCUCUUCCAUGUAUUAAUCAACAAAGCAUAUCCUUUCCUGUAGACAUCAUGAAACACAGCAUUAGAACCAACCACAACUUCUGGUAAUCAUGGCAAGAAAGCAAGAAUAAACUGUGUAGGGGAAGCCAAGUAAGUCAUAAUGGACAAGCGAUAUGAAUAUGAAUGUCAGCAUAUAAUCACAACGAGUAAUACUUUGACCAAUGUCACAACUUAUAUUUAACUCAACCCUAAUAAAUUUGCUUCUGUUCUGCCAAAUCCAGACAGAAGUAUUUCUCAAACUCUAAGUUUGAAGUCUCUGUUGUUAAUGAAUAUAGACCUAGCUCCCGCUCAUACGGUUAUACCAGCUACCUAUGUUCUCUAGCACAUCUGAUCUGAUAACCAAAAAGAGCUUCUCAACAUCUGAAAGAGCUUUCGGCUAGGUUCUCAUUACUUUAAAGACAUUACACGUGUAUCCGGCGGGAGCUAAUUCUAAUACUAUAUAAAAUCCAGUGAAAGAAUACCAUUUUCUCUGUGUCGAAAAGCACGGAAAUAAUUGCACCAGCUGUUCUUGGUAAGAUUAGACGACCAAAGAGCAAAUUUGACCAAACUUUCAAAAUCCCCAAGCAGCAUAACUACAGAAUUACAGUUGUUCAUGUUUAAAUGCCUAUGCAAAGUGGCAAAGGAUCUAAAAAUGAACUGAGCGAUGCAAACUAACUGCAGUAUUAUAUUAUUAGAAGCCAGAUCUCACUUAAGCAAUGUAAUCAUUGAAAUAACGCAAGCCGUCGUGCAAAUGACAGUUUAAUAGACACAGCCAUUGCCGUCUCUAUUUACAUCUAGCACCACCGCAAAAGAAUCAGCCAUACAGAGCAUUAAUCAUCUCCAUAUAGAUUUUCAAAUUCAGAGAGAGAGAGAGAGAAGCAAGCAAUUAUGACUUUAUUCUGCCUUAGAUUUAUAUGCAAAAGUUUCUAAAACAAAACUGCAUUUAGACAAAAACUAGGCAAACAAAGCAGCAUUUUACUGAGCCGAUGUUGAUACACUGUUUCAAUUUAACUUUGUGGGGUUAAGAUACAAGAAAACCCCUCCAUAAUUAGAGUAUCAAUUUAACUUCGAGGGGCUAAGAUACAAGAAAACCCCUCCAUAAUUAAUAAGGCAACUAUACUGGGAAGAUAAUGUACUUCCCCUCUGGCUCUUUCACAAGGAUGAUUUCUGACCUAAGUCCUAAAAGAAUGUUGCUAAACUAAAAUUUUCCUUCUACAUUUGGUAACCAUGUGGAAAGUGGAUACUAUUACAAAAAGACGCUUACAACAAUUGACUUAGGAAGAUGAUUAUGUGGCAAAGAACCACACAAGAUAGAAAAUAAAAGGAACGAAGCCAUCAUCACUAACAUUGCCAACUCCAUCACCAAAACCAACUGCUUCGACUAUCAACAGCUUUCACUGAAGUUGGUACUAAGGGCAUGUGCCCAUAUUCAGCUACAAACCUAUUAACACAUUCUGUCCUCCUAUUGCUGUGACCUCCCAAACUACUGAUCCCUGUGGAACCAAUCUCAUAUAUCUUGCCUGGAUUAACACGAGAAGACGAAUAUCAAGAAAAGUCUCUAAAGUAAAUGAUUUGAAAGUAAUGUUCUUCAGUAGCAGAAUGAAACUCAAUAAAUGACAUUGCAAAGUCAACACAUAUUCUAAGUCAAACAUGAAAAAUGUAGUAAAAAUCAAAAUUGUUUAAUUCGAUAAUUGACAAGAUUGGUAAUGUAAACAAAAACAAAGAAAAUUAACAGGCUAUGUGAUGACAGCAAAAAAUUCUGGCAGACCACUGUUUUCAACUAAGUAUUAGAGUAACAUCUCUACAAGAUUUUUUUUUUUUUUUUUUUUGGUGCAGAGAACUUAACCUGUGCUAACUGCAUUAUCAGCGUUACUAUGCAUUAUUGGCAACUCUUAAGUAGUGUGAUCCUAAGCAGGUCACAGCACCCGUGAUACAAUUCUCCAAGGAUAGGGAUUUAGUUACCAGCCAGAUACAUCCAUAUUACAUACAGAGGCAAACAGAGUCACAGAACAAGAUACCUUAUAGAAGUCUAGUAAGACUGAACCAAACUUGGUAUUGUUGUUUACUAGAGUGAUCUUUUGCAGCCUCAACCAGGACAAAUGUUAAUUUUCUGGUUGAAAGUCCGUGUGUUGAUUGAACAUGUGGGAGGGUGGAGGGGCAUACCAUGAGACGGACAAGGUAGAGCAAUAAAUUCGAAAAAGCAGGCUGAACUAGAAGAUAAGACACGGAUGAAAAGUUGCCUGACAAGCUUCACUUACCUCUUACCCAUAUUGGGGGAACACCAGUAGCAUUUGCAACUAAGAAAGACAUUGCGAUGUCUUCACAAUUCCUAUUCAUUCAAUUGAAUAUAGUUAACUUUGGUAAACAACAGAGCAGCAGGAACAAAAUAAGAGAGACAAACAUCAGAUGAAGCAUGGAAGAAAAUUUCUAGGAUUGAAUAAGAACCUGUUUGUGGUCACAUAUUCUCGAAUCGAUGCAGGCAUUUGAUAAGUAUACAAACUAAGAUACUUCUGGUGGAAAAAGGCCGCUUUCGAAAGAACCAUACUGUAUGUUCCCAUCCACCAAACAGACCACCAUCCUCCAUAAGUGAAUUGGUCAGAGUUGCCUUUCUGCAUGACAACUUCAUGCUUUAAUAACAAUACAAGUAAUACUCAAAGAUGCACCUGGUUUUUCUUCUUUCCCAAGCACCCCUCCCCCUCCUCCUCCCUGCCCCGUUUUAAAGGGGGGAAAAAUAAAUGCACCAAGUGCGUCAAUCAGAAUUGGAAAAAUUUCCAUGUUAGGAUGAGUAAAGUAGUAUUUUACCAAUAAAAAAAUAGCUACAAAACCACAAGAUGAAUGAAAUAUGUCCAUUUUAAAAGACAGAAUAAGUUUACUGACAAGAAAAGUUCAAGCAGUCACUAGUCAAAACCACAUACUAUGGAUCAAAGAAUUUAUAGGAGUCAUGAUUUUAGAAUGAAAACAACUGCAGUCUAAGAUGCAGAAUACGAGACAUACUCCAGCUGCUCAAAGGCCCAAAAAAUUUCAGACGAAACAAUAAAAACAUCUAAUUCAGCUCCUAAACAUAAGUGAAGUGUAAUUACUAGAGCAUCCCAAGCGCAGGUGACGCAAAGGGUUAUUGACUGGCCAAUUGAUCACCAAGAGUCAAGUAUUAAACAAACUUUGCAGCACAACAAAAAUUAAUAUCAGAUUCUGUGUAAAUUUGAUAGUUCCCCAUUUAGUAGAUAAGGUAUUUAGAAUUGUAGUUUUGGUACAAGAUGUCAUUUUGAGUAACCAAGAAGGACAAGUUCAAUUACUUCAAAAUAUUUGCAUGCUUGCAGAAGUUCUAG
rnacentral:lncRNA from 1 species